AAGCACUUACAGAUGACCUUUCCUCGCCUUCAGCCAUGAUGUUGGCCUUCAGGAAGUGAGACAGCAUCAACCUUCUGCCUGUCCUUGUAGCCAGAACAUCUGGUUUGAGACACUGGAGAACUUGUCUGAUUCAGGAGAAACUAGGGGAUUUCUCUGCAGGCAAGCGGAUUACAGCGUCCUGAGGCUGUCCCUGACUUUGAAAUCCACAGAAGUUUCAGCCCUGGCUCAGUUGUUCAUUUGCUACAGGACAAAGUCAAUUUGCACCCCUGAACUUCAGAUUCUUCAUGUGUAAAAUAGAAUAUUAAUACCUUCUGUGGAGGGUUAUGAAGCAUCACCCACAAGCUUCCAUUAUGGACCCUGAAGUGAGAUGACCAGUAGAUAUGGAACCUGGCCCUCUCCUCCUACUUGCCAGCUGGGAAAUUUGAGGGAAGACACUUCAAAUCUCCGUGGCUCAGUUUUGUCCCCCUCAGUGUGGAUCUGUAGUGGAUGUUAUGGGGCUAGGCCCAUACUCUCCCUACACCAUGCCCAUGCAGGCCGAUUCAAUGGCUUCUGACUGUAACCAUUUCCCUCCAUGGAUUACAGUUGACCGUUGAACAACAUGGAGUUGAACUGCAUGAGGCUGCUCGUAUUUUCUUCUGCCUCUGCCACCCCUGAGACAGCAAGAUCAAUCCUUCCUCCUCCUCCUCCUCCUCAGCCGACUCAAAGACCAUGAGGAUGAAGACCUAUACGAUGAUCCACUUCCAUUUAAUGAAUCAUAAAUAUAUUUUCUCUUCCUUAUAGUUUUCUUAAUAACAUUUUCCUUUCUCUAUCUUUCUUUACGGUAAGAAUAAAUAAUAUAAUUUU
rnacentral:lncRNA from 10 species